rnacentral:lncRNA from 1 species
UUGCACAACUUUUACAAGAGACCCCGCUCACGUCCUCUUCUUCAUCAGCCGCUACAGUGCAAAAACAACCCCAACCCGUCGACCACACCCAGCAUCCCACCCUCUCGUUUUUAUAUUCUUCACGAGGGCUUGAGAUGAAUGGAACACAUAGAUAAAUGUGAUCCAUCUUCUCCAUGCCUCAUCUCCGCCUAUCGACCACCCAUGUACCGUCAAUGUAGCUUCACCUAUAGCGCACAGCCACGAACAUAACCAAUUGUAGAAACCAAACAACCCUUUUGUUCGAGUUUCAUUCACACACACAAACACACAUACGCGGUUCGUGGUUUCAAUUUUGGGGUGCGAUCGCUACGUAUUCAAAGUUUCUAUUCGAGGUGUGGUUUGUUGUUUUGAUCCAAGAUUCUGGUUUGAUUUUUCCAAUUCGUUUGAAGCUUUGUUGAUUUCCUGUUGUAACUAUGACUCUGUUCCAGUCCAUGUAAUUUCCACUAUUUGAUUAAUCAGAAAUCGCUGCUCUGUUUGUUUGGGGUUCAUCUUCAACGUCAACACCUUUAUUUGGGUUCUAUUUUGUUAUUGUUCUACUCGUAGCCAGUGAUUGUUACCGCGAAACACCGCUGCUGUUUUUAAGCAUCUUAGAAAGCUCGUUUUGAAACAUAAUAGUUAAUUCGUGAUGCCUUGCAUCUGCCCAGUAAUUCAGUGAUCAUCAAAAUGAUUCAAUUUGAGUCGGAAAAUCUGAGGUAUAGUUAGAGGACGUCAUCGAGGUUCUGCCCAUCGUUCUCUAUUUGUUUUUAGAUCUGUUUUUUUACGACGGAGCCAACUUGUUGUAAGUCAUUCGGAUAACUGUUACAUCUCCUUAUUUCAUUAUUUUCUUUAGACCUUGCAUCAGGUGUAUGAUACUACAAUGACUGUUUAAGUUGUCUGUUUUGUUGAAAUGAGAUUCAUGGCCACUACAAUGAUUGUUUAUGUCGUCUAUUCUGUUGAAAAUGAGAGU